rnacentral:rRNA from 1 species
AGAGCGAACGCUGGCGGCAGGCCUAACACAUGCAAGUCGAACGGACUCUUCGGAGUUAGUGGCGGACGGGUGAGUAACACGUGGGAACGUGCCUUUUGGUUCGGAAUAGCUCCUGGAAACGGGUGGUAAUGCCGAAUGUGCCCUUCGGGGGAAAGAUUUAUCGCCAUUAGAGCGGCCCGCGUCUGAUUAGCUAGUUGGUGAGGUAAAGGCUCACCAAGGCGACGAUCAGUAGCUGGUCUGAGAGGAUGACCAGCCACAUUGGGACUGAGACACGGCCCAAACUCCUACGGGAGGCAGCAGUGGGGAAUCUUGCGCAAGUGGGCGAAAGCCUGACGCAGCCAUGCCGCGUGAAUGAUGAAGGUCUUAGGAUUAGUAAAAUUCUUUACACGGGACGAUAAUGACGUACCGAGAAGAAGCCCCGGAUAACUCAGUCGACGACGACGACGCCGUAACGUACUCGUAGGCGG